rnacentral:tRNA from 2 species
GCGGGUAUAGUUUAGUGGUAAAACCUCAGCCUUCCAAGCUGAUGAUGUGGGUUCGAUUCCCGCUACCCGCUCCA